rnacentral:lncRNA from 1 species
AAAAGGAAAGGAGAAGUACUGGGAAUUGAAAUGGAGCACAUUAAUUCCAUGCAUGUUUGGUUGUGUCAAAAUGAAUUGCAAUAUUAUGUAUGUGAUAAUACACUAAUAAAAAUAUGUAAAAAAAAGAAAAAGCAUUCUGGGCUGGGGUUGUUGCUCAGUGGUAGAGUGCUCGCUUCACACAUGUGAGGCCCUUGUUUGAUCCCCAGCACCACAUUAAAAAUAAAUAAACAAAAAAAGAUAUUGUAUACAACUAAGAAAUAUAUUUUUUUAUAAAGCAUUCUUUGUGUAAAGAACAGGAAAACAGUUUCUUAUCAGAUAAAUCUCUGUGAAACAGCCUCUUACCAGAGAAAUUUCUUGCAAAUGUCUUCUUUUAGGCAUAGCUUAUCUUUUCUUUCUGUAGAUAUUAUUUUUCACAGAGCAGGAAUUUUAAUUUUAAUGGGGUGUAUUGUAUCAAUCUCUUUCUCAUUGAUCAUACCUUUGAUAUAGUAUCAAAAAAGUCAUGGCCAAAUCCAACGUCAUCUAGAUUUUCUCCUUCUAUCUUGUACAAUUUUUCUAGUUUUAUGUUUUACAUUUAGAUCUAUGAUCCAUUUUAAAUUAAUGUUUGUGAAGAGCAUAGAUUCAUUAUUUUAUGUGGGUAUGUCCAGUGUUCUAACAGCAUUUGUGGAAAAGGCUAUCUUUUCUCUAUUGUGUUGCUGUCAAUCCUUUGUCGAAGAUCAGUUGACUACAUAGUUAUUGCUUGGUCUGUAGGGAUUUGAUACUAGUAUCUUCCAGAGACCUACAUCUGUGGAAGGUCAAAAUCUCUUAAUUAAAAUUCCCUGGUAUACAGCCUAAGCUCUCAUAUACUUUACAUCAUCUCUUGAUUAUGUUUAGUGCCUGACAAAAUGUAAGUGCUAUGUAAUUGAAACUGGAGUUUGAAAUGAAACCAGAUUCUCCACUCUGCUGGUCUGUAGGUCCACAUAAGUUACAUGCCUCUGCAGCUGAGAGAGCUCAUUUUAGUAUUGCAACUAAUCACAGCAGGGAAAUGCCUGUCUGGUCAGCUCCAUGGGUCAGAGCUGGCAGAACCUGACUCUCUUCACUAUUACUGAGCAGUGUGUUGUAGCUCUCAAUGGCAGACCUCAGCAGCUGGCUGCCAUUUUUUUUCCCCAAGGUCUCAUUCACAGAUUUGAAGACAAAUCCAUAGACAACAGAAGGCAAGAGUGAAGGUGUAGUAUUUAUAUAACUGAAAAGAAAAGAAGCAGAACUCUCAGGGGCUGAGAGGGGAACCUGAGAGUAGGUUUCCACUUAAGUGUACUAGUCUAGGGACUUAAAUAGCUACUGGAUGAGGCAUUCAUCAAUAUCUGUGCUAAUCAGGUCUUGGAAAGAUACUAAGGGUGUUGGUCAGUAUCUAUGCUAAUCAUGUCUUGAAAAAGUGCCAAUACUAUUGGUCAACACCUAUGCUAAACAAGUAUUGGAACAGUGCCAAGGCUCAUGGUUUGGUCUGUGACAUUCUGAUUAGUUAGGCCUUGAGUCUGUAGUCUUCACUCAGGUCGGCUCUACCUCCUUUUUCCUGCCACCCGGGACAAAGAAAUUGGCUGUAAUGUUUGGAAUGUUUUCUAUAGGUUAGUUUUGUGAAAUAGCCUCUUCAUUUAAAGUCUC